rnacentral:lncRNA from 1 species
UAUCGACCCACAUAAGAAUCUGCAGCAAACGCCCCCAGCAAAGGCAGCAUAUUCGCAGUCCCGAACCACGUAUUCACAUUCUGGGCAGCUGUGGCCAUGGACUGACCCAGCCGACCCGUGAGGUAGUUUAUAAGAUUCGACUCUAUGCCAUAAAAUGCAAAUCUCUCAGCAACUUCAACACCUGUAGACAUGAACAUAAGCAAAUAAUUUCUCUGUGAUUACUGCUUUUGAGUUAGCAGUGGUUACCUAUGAUGAAGCAUGCGGAUCUCCAACGGCCAGAGCUGCAUCUCCUGGCCGGACGGCCCUUGUAGUCGACGGCGCUGUUGAGGGUGUCGUCCAGAAGUGGAGUAUGGGCGUGGGGGAGGAUGCCAGAAUGAGGCAUGGCUGAACCAGUACCGCAGAAUGGGGGGCUUGAGCUGGAGAUAUGUGAUGUUGUGUUGACCUUUUGUCAAUAAAUGCUAUUGGUUUAUUGUACGUGGAAAUUGGAUUGGACGUUUUGCCCCACUCCCAAGCCUACAAGGUAGUUGAAAACUUGAAAUUGGGUUGAAACUUGGAACCCAAAAAAGGAAUGAAUGGGUCCUGGACUGCGACUUCUGUCACAGUAUUUGAUUUAUUACCUCAGAGAAUAUUAGGUCUAUUGGGUAGAGUUUUCACAAAAAUAAAAUAAAAUAAAAAUAAAAAUAAAAAUAAAAAAUAGAACUAAAAGAUAGCUUUUAAAAAUAAAUUUCAAAAAUAAUUUUAUGAUAUUUUUUAUAAUAAAAUUUUAUUAGGAUAUUUGAAGUCUUCUCCAUUGAUAGUGUGUUUUCCAAUAUUUCUUAAAAAUAAAUCUUUUUUAUUUUAUCUUUAUUCACUCUCAAUAUUUAUAUAAUUAUUUUUUUAAAUGAUUCUAUAAAAUGAAGUGAAAACAACUAGAAAUAAUUAAAAUACGUUCUCAUAGAAAAACUUAUUUUUAUAAUAAUUCUCAUAAACCUAUUGUAGAAAUAAUUCUAAUGAAACAUGUUUUUAUGUUUUUUUUCUUUUGUAUUUAAAAAAAUUAUUUUUGACUAUAAUUUUUUGACAUAAAAUAAGGUCUAAAAAGGAAUAUUUUAAAAUAUUUUUUAAAAAUAGUUUUGCUAUUUUUUAUAAAAUAAAAAUCUAUUUAAAACCUCGAAAUGUUCUCAAUUUAUUUUAUGUAUCUUUAAAUAUUUUUUUUAAAUAACUUUUUAUCUAGAGCUUUAUUUUUAUUCUUUUUUUAUUUAUAUGGUUAUUUUUUAUAACAAACUCUAGAAAAUAAGUAAAAGCAACAAAAAAAUUUAAAUAAAAUUUAAAUCUCAAAAUGCAGUAUGUUUUUUGAAUAAGUACUUAAAAAACUAUUUUUUGCCAAAAAAAAUAUCACACAUAUUUUUAAGUGUGGAAAAUAGUUUUCUAUUUUUAAAAACAAAAAAUAAUUUUAGCAAUAGUUCCCAAAUCGGUUCUUAGGAUAGAUUUGCAACAUUUUCAAAAAUAAUUUUUAAAAAAUAAUUUUUAAAUUUUUAAAAAAUAAUUUUUAAAUUUUUAAAAAAUAAUUUUUAAAUUUUUAAAAAUAGUUUUCUAUUGUUUUUAAGAACAAAAUUUAAUUUGAGAACUCAAAUAUUAAAAAAAAAAUAGAUUUUUAACUUAUUCUUUAUAAAUAUUCUCUACACAUGUAUAGAGUUCAAAAGUUCUGUUGCUCAAAACAUUCUACAAAAAACACUUCAAAUUUGUUUUUAAAAAAUUAACAUAUUUUUAAAUCAAAUUUUCAAAAAAAAAAAUUGGAAUAAUUAUGUUUUGGACCUAAUUUGGCCCAAAAAUUAAGUUUUGGUCCAUAUAAGUUUAAUAUUUAAACUCAGUAAUCAAAAUGUGGAAAUUGAGAAAAAGGAUAUGGAUUUUUUAUUUUUUCAAAAAUAACCUUUAUUAUCUAUAAAAAAAGAGUAGAAAAACAUUAAUUUAAAUUUUAUUCAUUUUGUAAACCUUCAUAAAUUUUAAUUUAAUUUAGUGAUUUGGAAAAAAAAAUACAUCAUUUUCCAAAAAAAUAAAAAUAAAUUAUUAUUAUUAUUAUUUAAAAAUGAAACAUCUUGAAAAAUAUAUUUUUUUUAAAUUAUGUAUGUAAAAAAUAACUAAAAAUAUGUCAAAAUUAUUUUUUUUAAAUGAUAUAUUUUUAGAAUAUAUUUAAAAAAAAAUUAGUUUUCAAAAAAUAAUAAAAUUUCAUAAUAAUUAUUAAAAAAAUUAAAAUCAAAAAGUUUGUUAAACAUUGUGAUAGAAAAUACUCAAAAUAGUUUUAAAGUUUCUUCACAUUUUAUAUCAUUCCCAUUAAUUAUAUAACUUUCAUGUGCCAAAGCUUAAUUUUUGAACCCAACUGGGUCCAAAACACAAUUGUCCCAUAAAUAAAUAACGAGUAUGGUGCACCAUAAAUGAUAUAACACUGAUACACAAUAAAAAUUCUUCUUAUACAAUUUGAAUAUUAUUUUUCAAUUCAACUUGGUAUUUUAAAAAAUUCAGAUCAUUUCACGGAAUUAUAAAUGUUUACCAUUCUUUGAGUGGAAUUUUGCAUCUUUUUUGAACCUUAAGUUCAUUAUCAACUUUAUUCAUCCCUAAAACAUAAUUGUUCAUAUUUAUAAUACACUACUUUUAAGAUCAUAAAAUGGCUAUAACUUUUAUAUAACAAACACGACCUCUUCCAACUUUACAUUAUGAAAGUAAUUAUUUUAAAAAAUCAAAGUAUUAAAAAUAUUUUACCAUCUCAAAUUUUAAAAUCUUUAAAAAUGAUUUUUUAAAGACAUAAAGUAAAUUUACUUUCUUUUUUUUUUUUAAAAAUGCAUUACUUUUGUAUAAAAGUUUUUUUUAUUUAAAAAAAAAAGAGAAGAAACAUAAAGAUAAAUUAAUAAAAAUAUAAUGAUUGUCUUCAUUGUUUCCUUACAAGAAAUUGGAAAUUGAUUUUGGAUGUAUUUGAUUUAGUUUUGAUGUGAAAUUAUUUAAAAUGGAUAUAAGAAAGUUUUGUUGAAAAGUUUUGAAUAUAUUAACAUGUUUAAUUCAAAAGUUUUUAUGAAAAUGAAUAUAUAUUGUAUCUCCUAUUUAUAAGCAUAAUUGAAACUAUUUGGUCCAUGAAACUAUAUUAAUGUUCUUUAUUGGGUUUUGAACUCAUUUCCUUUGUUGUUAAAUUUUAGGCACCCUUCCUUUGGGCGAGAAGUGAUGAUUAUGAUAAUAAAUUUGACUUAUUAAUACAUUUGUUAAAACUUUCCUUUUGGAAUUUGUUAAAUAUUAGAAUUUAAUUAUUGUCGGUUAUUGAUUAAGUUUUGAAAUUGCUUGUACAAAAAUACUAUGGUUGAUAUGUUGGUUUAAAAGUUAAAUUUGAAGAUUUUAGAAUUUUUGUUCUAUUACUCCGAACAUCAAUUUAGUAAUUGGUAAAUUUCAAUUACAAGAUGAAUGUUUGUAUCAUUUCCGCUUUGAGCCUUUGUGAAAUGACCGUCACGCCCUUGGAACGGGAUUUGGGGCAUGACAAUUGAGGAUAAAAAUACUACUGAUGAGUGGUUAAGUCAACAGCAUGUACUUUGAGAUAUAAAAUACAUUCACAAGAAUUGAAACAAACACAAUAUAAAGGUGAAGGGCAUUCAUGUUGUACUAGUACUAUUAUAAAUGUAAGAUCUUGCAGAAUACAAGUAGGUGGACAAUCCUACUGUACUCAGCCCAGCAAGUAGCCAAUAGAAGUAAUCAAGAUGAGCCUGGUUAAGAUUAUCAUUGAACCAGCUAGUUUGGCCAUCCCCACCAGUAGUUUUGUUGAUAACAGAGAUGAGAAAGCUGCUCAGAAAGCUCCCUACACCAAAGAUACUGAGGUAGAGGGAGAGACCAACACUCCUUAGUUCAUUUGGGACCUCAUCAUAGAAGAACUCUUGCAGACCAACCAUGGUGAAUACUUGAGCAACUCCAAAUAUCACAUAUUGGGGAAUCAACCACCACACCGCCAUUGGAACGGUUGCAUAUGGUAUAUCGACCAGCCCAUAUUGUUCGGCGGUUUUGAGCCGUUGGACCUCAACUAGUGCUGCAAAUACCAUGGCAAUGACAGACAGAAGCAUCCCAGUUCCGAUCCUCUGAAGCAUUGUUAUGCCUGAGGGUUUCCUGGUUAGAACUCUUGCGGUAGGAACCAAAAUGCGGUCAUAUAUGGGGACGAAGAGAAGGAUGGAGAGGCUGAUGAAGCAUUGAAGUGAGGCAGCCGGUACCUUAAAGCCCGAACCAAUUGAUCUAUCCAUGGUAACUCCUUGCUUGGUAAAGAAAGUUGGUGGCUGAGCAAACACAAUAGCAAAUGCUAAGCAGGAAGCCCAGAUGGGAAACAGCCUCAGAACUGAUUUUGCUUCUUCAACAUCACUCACACUACACACUUUUCCAUCUUCCUUUGAACCAUCUGGUGCAAGCAAGGCCUUGUUGAGAAACCUGUCACAAUAGAGAGGUUUCUGCAAGUAAAAUUUCAAUGGAAGUGUACGCAUUAAAAGGAAAAAGGUUACUUUAUAAUAAUUGCAUGUCAUUUUCAAAAUAGGGUCUAUAGGAUGUUCAAAGGUUUGAAAUGCCUAGGUAAGAUCUUGAAACUCACAAACUUUUAGCUGAGAAGUAUGCAUUUUCUUUUAUCCUUUUCAAUACCAUUGCAGAAACUGAACCUUUCUUACUUGAACUUGUGAGAACAUUGAUGAGGCCAGGUUCCAUGAGCUACCUCUUCAUCAGUUAAAGAAGAAUCUGUUGUAUGCCAAUUCUUGAUUGCUGCAACAAAGACCCAACCGAUUUUCAGAAAUGGGUUCUUCUCAUCCCCUUUAACACUAUAACGAUAAGUCUUGGUACCGAGCAAGAAAACAAACAGUGCAGCCACCAUUGUAGUGCAGGGGAUUCCGAAUCCAAGACCCCAAUUGAGAUUGUCUUGGAUGUAGUUCAAGAUGGAGGAGUUUAUUAAAAUACCACCGCUCAUACAAAAGUACCACCAGUUGAAGAAUGAGCUUUUGGCUUUGCUCUCCUCUGGAUUUUUUCCAUCAAAUUGAUCAGCUCCAAAAGCUUGGACACAGGGCUUGUGCCCACCUUGCCCAACAGCUACCAGAUACAGAGCAAAAAAGAAGAGGAUUACUUGUAACAUCGGAGGGGAACAGGAUGAUAUUUCUUUGUCAGUUUGGCAGUGAGAAGGAUUGAAAGAAGGAAGCACAGCAGAUACCGUUAACAAGCCUAGUCCCUGUGAUUCAUAAAAUCAAAAGUGAAAUCCACUUAUCAUUUCAACAAUGCAGAAGCUUAAAAUACUAUGCUAGAAAGCCCAUAUAAAUCAUUUCCAAACAUCAAAACUAACAUUUUUCAGGGCAUCCUUUCUAAGGAAAAGUUCUCUCUAGCAUGUUUAAGCAUGCUACCAUUAAUGUCAGUCCUUGAAAAACCAGCGCAGACUAGCCAGUUGAGUGAGGCCGAACAACUUGUUAAGUAAUGAAGCAACAAUCUAUAUCAACCUAUAGAAAAAACUACUGUUGAAUAGGGUUGAACAAUUUCAAGUGGUUUUCUACUUAAACAUGCAUCACCCAAGUGAAUUCAUGGCUGGACUGGUUUGAACUGACAGUUCUCCUUGCUAUAAGUCCAGCUUUUCAAUAACUCUAGUAAGCUCUAUGAUAGAACUGAAACUCAAAAACAAAUGAUUAAGACAAGUUCUCUACCAAUCCAUUUUAUCCAUUCCAAUGGUAGAAACAUCUCAACAAAGAGAAGGCCAAUAAACUCAUAAUACAGGUGAUGUUUCCAUGAAAAGGUUGCAAAGAAUUCUCAAACUAGUGUUUGGAGCACUAGAAAAUUUGAAACUCAAUAGAACCCAGCAUACCUACUUCAUUCAUUCAACCAAAACUAGCUCUAGUCCAUAUAUAUCAUCUUAAGAAAAAAGAAGACACAUUUGAUUCAAGGGGAAAAGAAGUGUGAAUUCUAGCUUUUACAAGUUUGAAUCAACUGGGACUGAUUGCUUAACGGCAUUGAAAACUUGUUUCAUAACAAGCCAAGACGAGAAAAAUCUUGAAAAUGAGGAGGUUCUUCUACAUGGAAGGUGCCAGCAUCGAUCCUACUUGAAAAUGAGAAGAUUGAAUCUUUCCUCACAGAAAUCACAAUGAUGAUAGAAGAAUUGAGAAUCAAAUAUCACAAACUUCUCUACUGCCAAAUAAGUUGAUGCCAAAUUGCACUUUUAUUGAAAGCCAUUUGUAAAUUGUUCCAACAAGUACCGAAUGCUCCAUCUCCAUCAAGAAUCAGAUACCCAAUUUAUUAAUAUACACAAAAAUCCGUGUUCUUUUGCAAGGAAAAACCAAAAAAAAUAUAUUGGUAAAGAAAAUGGGGAAAAAUUAGAAAUGCAAUUUAAACAAACAAAGGAAUAAAAGUAGCUUUUAUUGGGUCAUCUUUUGGCACAAUAGAGUCCGUGUACCUUCAUUUUCUAGACCAUAGGACAUUUGAAUCGAUCAUUACAGUGGUAAAAGGAAAUGGGACCUGGGUUAGGUAUGAUCACUGCAACAAAAAGACACAGCAAAACAGAUGCGAUCAUGGAAGAAAGAAGGAGAUGACAAACCAGGAUGUAGAGAAGGGAAGCGAUGACAAUGGUGGGAUAUCGACCCACAUAAGAAUCUGCAACAAACGCCCCCAGCAAAGGCAGCAUACUCGCAGUCCCGGACCACGUAUUCACAUUCUGAGCUGCUGUGGCCAUGGACUGACCCAGCCGACCCGUGAGGUAGUUUAUAAGAUUCGACUCGAUGCCAUAGUAUGCAAAUCUCUCAGCGACUUCAACACCUGUAGACAAACACACAAGCA